GAUGAACGCUAGCUACAGGCUUAACACAUGCAAGUCGAGCGGAGACAGUGAGUAGCUUGCUAUGAGCUGUUUUAGCGGCGGACGGGUGAGUAACGCGUGAGCAACCUUUCCCAGACAGGGGAAUAACACACCGAAAGGUGUACUAAUACCGCAUAAGACCACGGGAUCACAUGGUUCUGGGGGUAAAAGAUUUAUCGGUUUGGGGUGGGCUCGCGUCCGAUUAGGUAGUUGGUGAGGUAACGGCCCACCAAGCCGACGAUCGGUAGCCGACCUGAGAGGGUGACCGGCCACAUUGGGACUGAGACACGGCCCAGACUCCUACGGGAGGCAGCAGUGGGGAAUAUUGCACAAUGGAGGAAACUCUGAUGCAGCGACGCCGCGUGAGUGAAGAAGUAGUUCGCUAUGUAAAGCUCUAUCAGCAGGGAAGAUAGUGACGGUACCUGACUAAGAAGCUCCGGCUAAAUACGUG
rnacentral:rRNA from 1 species